UUAUGAGCAUUUGUGCAAAUAUAUAUUUAGGUUCAUAUUAAUUAUUUGUUAAAAGAAUUUUUGAUACUUAUAUAAGAUUAAAGAAUCUAAAUAAUAAUAUUUCAACUAAUUUUUUUAAGUGAGAUCCUACGUCAUUAUAAAUGAUAUCAGAAUCUAGCUACCUACGGCUCAUGUAAGCUAGGGGAUACUACAACAUUCAUUGUGGC
rnacentral:lncRNA from 1 species